rnacentral:rRNA from 1 species
AACGAACGCUGGCGGCAUGCCUAACACAUGCAAGUCGAACGAGACCUUCGGGUCUAGUGGCGCACGGGUGCGUAACGCGUGGGAACCUGCCCUUAGGUUCGGAAUAACGCCUCGAAAGGGGUGCUAAUACCGGAUAAUGUCUUCGGACCAAAGAUUUAUUGCCUUGGGAUGGGCCCGCGUAGGAUUAGCUAGUUGGUGGG